GUCUUGUUUAGUGUCGUUAUGAAAUGUUACACUAGCCGUUUGGCUCGUUAAAGGACUUCAAGAAUACACAAAAAGCAGCAACUAAAGAUUGUAAUCCUGGGGACCUGGAUGUGAACCUGAGUGGCAGAUCUUUUGUGAUCACUGGGGCCAACAGCGCCGUUGGAAAAGCUACUGCCCAUGAAAUAGCCAAAAUAGAUGGGACGGUCCACCUAGUGUGUCGUAACAAAGGACGGGCAGAGGAGGCAAAAGAGGUCAUUGUGGAACAGAGUAAAAACCAGAGGAGGCAAUUUGAUUAUUUUCGGCAGAAUGUCCAGUACCAGCCCCAGAAUGUCCAUGUUCAUAUUGUUGGCAUGUCCAGUGCAAGACAAGUGUGGGAAUUUGCUGAACGUUUUGCAAAAAGCAACAUCGUACAUUUACAGCUGGUUCACAUUCUCCUCAUAUGUUCUCUGCUGGUCCGCUCUCAACCUCUCCUGGACAACCAGCUGCUCCUCCAUGGCUCGAUUCUCCCGCUCAGAUGCCUCCCUUCUUGCUUGCUCGGCUAAAGAGAGAGAGAGUAUGAGUGACAGAGAGAGACCAAGGGAAAGAGAGUGAUAGCUUCAGUGAGAGACUGGUCUGCUGACAGGAUGGCCUCACCAAUGCUGGCCUUCCUUUGCAAGUACUCAUUCAGUACCUCUUCACCCUGGAACCACCACACAUAAUAUAUCACUUUCAACAUCACAUCAGUGCAUUCAUAACUCCUUUGACCAGAAUCCACAAAACAUGAUAAUUACAUAAUAUUCUAAAAUAGCUGAAGCACCACCUCCCCAACAUACCUUCACUCCCCUGCCUCCCUCAGAUCUGUAUUCGCUGGUGGCCAGUUUCAGGUCGUUGCAGUACUCUUUGUAUCCUCCAGGGGUCAUGUAGAAGCCAUCCCUUAUUUUCUCCUCCAGGGGGGCAAAGAUGCAUUGGAUUUUGGACUCGCAUGACUUCUGGGACUCCUUGUAGUUCCUCUCACAGAUCUUCUCAUACUCCUCUUGAACCACUUUCUAUAGAAAGAGGUUGGUUCAGAAUGUACCAGAACAAACCAGAAUGUCUUGGUUGAGUUGAGGUAAUAAAAUGGUACCAUAAAAGAGAUAGUUCACCCAAAUGGCAAAUUAACCUAAUCUUGUUAAAGACAUGUAUCAUUAAAUGUAAUAUUGACUCAUUGAAUAUAGAAUCUAUAUUCCCAUACCAUGAGCUCCAACUGGUACUUCUGGUCCUCGUCUUUGAAGGAGUUGUUGAUGAAUAUGGCUACAGCCUCCUUCUCCAUGACAGCAUGCACUUCAGACAGCUCCUCUUGAGUCUCUGUGGGGUAGGCUACCCAGUCAGCCAUGCCUUUCUGGUAGUGGGCCCUGGCCCUCUCGAUGGCACUGGAGUUCUCAAUUUGGGCCAGCGCCAACACAGCAUUGUCCAGGCAGGGGAUCUGCCCGCUCCGGAUGGCAGACACAUACGUCUCUGCCAGGUUUCCCAGCACUGCAGGAAAGAGAGGGAGAGAGUGAGUGAGCAGAAUCUGCAUAUAUACACUCAGUGGCCGGUUUAUUAGGUUCACGAAAAUACACUGCUCAAAAAAAUAAAGGGAACACUAAAAUAACACAUCCUAUAACUGAAUGAAUGAAAUAUUCUUAUUAAAUACUUUUUUCUUUACAUAGUUGAAUGUGCUGACAACAAA